UACGUAGGGUGCAAGCGUUGUCCGGAAUUAUUGGGCGUAAAGAGCUCGUAGGCGGUCUGUCGCGUCGGAUGUGAAAAUCCAGGGCUCAACCCUGGACCUGCAUUCGAUACGGGCAGACUAGAGUUCGGUAGGGGAGACUGGAAUUCCUGGUGUAGCGGUGAAAUGCGCAGAUAUCAGGAGGAACACCGAUGGCGAAGGCAGGUCUCUGGGCCACUACUGACGCUGAGGCGCGAAAGCGUGGGGAGCGAACAGG
rnacentral:rRNA from 1 species